ACGAACGCUGGCGGCGUGCUUAACACAUGCAAGUCGAACGGAAAGGCCCUGCUUUUGUGGGGUGCUCGAGUGGCGAACGGGUGAGUAACACGUGAGUAACCUGCCCUUGACUUUGGGAUAACUUCAGGAAACUGGGGCUAAUACCGGAUAGGAGCUCCUGCUGCAUGGUGGGGGUUGGAAAGUUUCGGCGGUUGGGGAUAGACUCGCGGCUUAUCAGCUUGUUGGUGGGGUAGUGGCUUACCAAGGCUUUGACGGGUAGCCGGCCUGAGAGGGUGACCGGCAACAUUGGGACUGAGAUACGGCCCAGACUCAUACGGGAGGCAGCAGUGGGGAAUAUUGCAAAAUGGGCGGAAGCCUGAUGCAGCAACGCCGCGUGCGGGAUGACGGCCAUCGGGUUGUAAACCGCUUUCGCCUGUGACGAAGCGUGAGUGACGGUAAUGGGUAAAGAAGCACCGGCUAACUACGUG
rnacentral:rRNA from 1 species